AUCUUAUUCUAUCUGUUCUUAAUGAGUUUUAGAUAAUUUUAGUUGUAUUUCUUUGUAAUUUUGUGUUGUACAAAGAUUAAUUUAACAUUUUCUCUGGAAGUAUUAAUUUAGAAAGAUAAUUAUGCUUCAUUGGUGUUGUGUUUUGAAGUGUGAAAUGCAAAGUAAUUGUGAUAAAGUUCACUUUUAAACUGAACUAAAUAAGGUAUCUGAGAGACAACAAUGGUUAAAUGCAAUACAAUGUACAGGUUUUACUAGCGAAAUGAAAAUUUUCCUGUCCUGUCUGCUGUAAUCAUUUUAUAUCUGGAAAACCAGCCGACUUAAUCGAUAAUAACAAUCUCCAGAUUGGGUUCCUUCAAUAAAUAUGGGCUAUAAACACAAUGAAAUAAGUUCCCCAAAAUCUAAAAUGGAGUGGUAUCAAAGGAGAAUUAAAGGAAAAAAUAUUCAUAUUGAAAUUAUUUAUAAGGCACUGGACUGUCUUAAAUUCUACAAUAAUACUAGAAUCAGCUGAGAGAAGUGGUCUACAAAAAACCAGGAAGGAAACGGAAUAUGUGGCUACGAAAGGCAAAAGAAAGGUUUACAAAGCAAAUGUGACACAUUUUUUUGAAAUAUUUAGGAAUAUCAGUAAAUUGCAUUAAAAAAUGUAUGAAAAGAUUUUGUUCAAUAAAAAUGUUUAUAUUUA